CAGCCGCCGCGGGAAUACAGAGGGUGCAAGCGUUAAUCGGAAUUACUGGGCGUAAAGCGCGCGUAGGUGGUUCGCCAAGUUGGAUGUGAAAUCCCCGGGCUCAACCUGGGAACUGCAUUGGUGACUGCAACGCUGGAGUGCGGCAGAGGGGGAUGGAAUUCCGCGUGUAGCAGUGAAAUGCGUAGAUAUGCGGAGGAACACCGAUGGCGAAGGCAAUCCCCUGGGCCUGCACUGACGCUCAUGCACGAAAGCGUGGGGAGUAAACAGGAUUAGAGACCCCAGUAGUCCCUGUCUCUUAUAC
rnacentral:rRNA from 1 species